rnacentral:rRNA from 1 species
GAUGAACGCUAGCGGCAGGCCUAAUACAUGCAAGUCGAACGGUGUCUUCGGACAUAGUGGCGCACGGGUGCGUAACACGUAUGCAACUUACCUUACAUUGGGGGAUAGCCUUUCGAAAGGGAGAUUAAUACCGCAUAAGACAGUAGCUGGGCAUCCAGCAGCUGUUAAAGAUUUAUCGAUGUAAGCUGGGCAUGCGUCCAAUUAGCUAGUUGGUGGGGUAACGGCUCACCAAGGCAAUGAUUGGUAGGGGAACUGAGAGGUCAAUCCCCCACACUGGCACUGAGAUACGGGCCAGACUCCUACGGGAGGCAGCAGUAGGGAAUAUUGGGCAAUGGACGCAAGUCUGACCCAGCCAUGCCGCGUGCAGGAUGAAGGCGUUAUGCGUUGUGAACUGCUUUUAUACAGGAAGAAACGACUCUUGCGAGAGGCAUUGACGGUACUGUAUGAAUAAGCACCGGCUAACUCCGUGCCAGCCGCCGCAGUAAGAC